ACAGGAAGGAAACCUACACUGUUUAUUUCAACAAUGAAGCUAAAUCAGUAAGGGUAUGCAACUGUACAGUUUCAGUGAAAGUGGCAUUCAUAGAUGACAAUCCAACAGUAUCAGGACUGUUGAGCUGCUCAAGCUGCUUCUUACCACGGCGAAGCAAGUACUCAAUGUAGAUGAAAUUCUUGCGAUCUACUUGUUUGGAGUUGCAGCGGAACUCAGCUGAAACAAAGGAUUCAAUCUGCCGUCGAUCUUCAGGGGACUUUGAACGAGCUGCUCGUAAGAAGCCCCGGUACAGACUAAGCACUUGCUUCUGCAUUCCAGAGAGUCUUGUUCUUCCUCCUGUUGAUGGUCCCAUUGCAUAAUUUCAAUGCACUUCACUGAUCAGAUUUUGGUCUUCUAAAGCACUAAUGAACAAGGAAAACAACAUCAGUCGGUUAUGUUCGUAUUGGCAUUUUAUCAAACACCAUAUGGCCAUUCGGAGCAGGGAGCAAAAAUACUAACAUAGUGAAGAAAAAAAAUUGCAGAAGGAAUCUUAGACCAGAUCAAUGAACUGGGUCCUUGUCCUUUUUACCAAGGAACUUGGAAAGCACCUGUGAACACGUAUUGUAAGAGAAUGAUUGCCUCUCGUUUUGAUCAA